AAGCUGAUUGCGCAAUCUUUCAAAAUUUUGAUUUUUAUUAUUCAACUUUUUAAUUUGUUUGAUUUGAGUCCGUCAACGACAAUUUGAUUUCAACAUUUAAGUUAAUUAUUUACUUUAAUAAAUUUGUAAUUAUGAUAAUUACAUGAAGUACACUAAAUUAAUCUAUAAAAAUAAGCGACUCAUUCCAAAUUUAAAGUCAAAAUACUGUUGAUCGACUCAAAUCAAACAAAUUGAAAAUAUUAAGUACAAAAAUUAAAAUUUUGAAAGAUUAAGCAGGUAAUUCAAAAUGGUCCAUACUUCAGGUAAGUUUCAUAUGUUUUUACCUAAUAUUCAAACCUACCACAAUUAUUGCUUACAUUGAUUGAUAUGACUGUCUAAUCUUUAAAAUUUUUAAUUUUUCUAUCUAAUUUAUUUAUUUAUUUAAUUCGAGCUAAUAAAUGGUUAUUCAGCUUCAUCAUUUAAAUGCAUCAUUUAUUUUCAUGACUAUAAUUACUAUAUUUUAUAUAACUUUUAUAAAUAUAUCUUAGUUCAAAUUAUAUCAGAAGAUCCAUCAAAUAGUUUAAAUCAAAUAAAAAAAAAAUUGAGUACCAAGAUUAAAAUUUUGAAAGGUUCAUCGGUUAGGAUCAAUAUGGUUUAUUGUUGGUGCAACUUCUAUGCAUUUUUUUUUUACCGACCGUUCCUAGAGCAAAUGGCAAAGAGUUUGGUGGUUGGUACCCGAGGUCCCAAAUUUGAAUCCUAGUUGAUUCACAUUUCUAACUAAAUUUAUUUUUAAAUAAAAUAAACGAAACGGGUAGCCUGCCACGUAUCUCUUAAAAAAAAAAAAAAACUUCUAUGCAUUUUUAUUAUCAAAA
rnacentral:lncRNA from 1 species